AUUGAACGCUGGCGGCAGGCCUAACACAUGCAAGUCGAGCGGAUGAAGGGAGCUUGCUCCUGGAUUCAGCGGCGGACGGGUGAGUAAUGCCUAGGAAUCUGCCUGGUAGUGGGGGAUAACGUCCGGAAACGGGCGCUAAUACCGCAUACGUCCUGAGGGAGAAAGUGGGGGAUCUUCGGACCUCACGCUAUCAGAUGAGCCUAGGUCGGAUUAGCUAGUUGGUGGGGUAAAGGCCUACCAAGGCGACGAUCCGUAACUGGUCUGAGAGGAUGAUCAGCCACACUGGAACUGAGACACGGUCCAGACUCCUACGGGAGGCAGCAGUGGGGAAUAUUGGACAAUGGGCGAAAGCCUGAUCCAGCCAUGCCGCGUGUGUGAAGAAGGUCUUCGGAUUGUAAAGCACUUUAAGUUGGGAGGAAGGGCGGUAAGUUAAUACCUUGCUGUUUUGACGUUACCAACAGAAUAAGCACCGGCUAACUUCGUG
rnacentral:rRNA from 1 species